rnacentral:tRNA from 1 species
GCCGUCUUAGCUCAGUUGGUUAGAGCGAUCGUUUUGUAAACGAUAGGUCCUCGGUUCGAAUCCGAGAGACGGCUCCA